GAUGAACGCUGGCGGCGUGCUUAACACAUGCAAGUCGAACGGAAAGGCCCAAGCUUGCUUGGGUACUCGAUUGGCGAACGGGUGAGUAACACGUGGGUGAUCUGCCCCGCACUUCGGGAUAAGCCUGGGAAACUGGGUCUAAUACCGGAUAGGACCACUUCUUGGAGGUUGUGGUGGAAAGUUUUUUCGGUGUGGGAUGAGCUCGAGGCCUAUCAGCUUGUUGGUGGGGUAAUGGCCUACCAAGGCGUCGACGGGUAGCCGGCCUGAGAGGGUGUACGGCCACAUUGGGACUGAGAUACGGCCCAGACUCCUACGGGAGGCAGCAGUGGGGAAUAUUGCGCAAUGGGCGCAAGCCUGAUGCAGCGACGCCGCGUGGGGGAUGACGGCCUUCGGGUUGUAAACUUCUUUCGCUAGGGACGAAGCGCAAGUGACGGUACCUAGAGAAGAAGCACCGGCUAACUACGUG
rnacentral:rRNA from 1 species